rnacentral:sRNA from 1 species
CACAGGCUGGAGUGCAGUGGCGCGAUCUUGGCUCACUGCAAGCUCCGCCUUCCGGGUUCACGCCGUUCUCCUGCCUCAGCCUCCGGAGUAGCUGGGACUACUGGCGCCCGCCACCAUGCCCGGCUAAUUUUUUGUAUUUUUUAAUAGAGACGGGGUUUCACCGUGUUAGCCAGGAUGGUCUCAAUCUCCUGACCUCUUGAUCCCCCUGCCUCGGCCUCCCAAAGUGCUGGCAUUACAGCCGUGAGCCACUGCGCCUGGCCUGUAGCAGUCUCCUGUGAGUCCUGGCUUUGAGCAAAAAUCACCAUCAGAGUCGUUUAUUGGUCGAGAGAAGAGGUCAAAUUCUCAAUCAUACAUUGGACGACCAAUUCACCUUGACAAGAUUUUGAUGUCUAAAGUUAAAGUGCCACACACAUUUGUCAUCCACUCCUACACCCGGCCCACAGUGUGCCAGUACUGCAAGAAGCUUCUGAAGGGGCUUUUCAGGCAGGGCUUGCAGUGCAAAGAUUGCAGAUUCAACUGCCAUAAACGUUGUGCACCAAAAGUACCA